GUGCAUAUAUAUACACACACACACACACAUAGAGAGAGAGAGAGUAUACAUACAGUAUAUAUAGUAUAUACUCUGUGUGUGUGUGUGUGUGUGUGUGUGUGUGUAU